rnacentral:sRNA from 1 species
GCCGUACGUCUUCUAGGCGUUUCCUCCCUAAACUCGGGCCGUGCUCACGCGCGGCCCUUCUUUUUUGCGCCG